AUUGAACGCUGGCGGUAUGCUUAACACAUGCAAGUCGAACGGUAGCAGGCCUUCGGGCGCUGACGAGUGGCGGACGGGUGAGUAAUGCAUAGGAAUCUGCCGAUUAGUGGGGGAUAACGUGGGGAAACUCACGCUAAUACCGCAUACGUCCUACGGGAGAAAGGUGGGGAUCUUCGGACCUGCCGCUAAUCGAUGAGCCUAUGUUGGAUUAGCUAGUGGGUAGGGUAAAGGCCUACCAAGGCGACGAUCCAUAGCUGGUCUGAGAGGAUGAUCAGCCACACUGGGACUGAGACACGGCCCAGACUCCUACGGGAGGCAGCAGUGGGGAAUAUUGGACAAUGGGCGAAAGCCUGAUCCAGCAAUACCGCGUGUGUGAAGAAGGCCUGAGGGUUGUAAAGCACUUUCAAUGGGAAGGAACACCUAUCGGUUAAUACCCGGCAGACUGACAUUACCCAUACAAGAAGCGCCGGCUAACUCCGUGCCAGCAGCCGCGGUAACAC
rnacentral:rRNA from 1 species